ACGUAAGAAAAUAGAAAUCCAACAGCUAUCCAACAAUGUUAUGGCUGAUUGAAAGAAGACGGAGGACUAGCAAAUUAACUGUCAAGGGAAAAUUUAAAAGUGGUUGGUUUACCUUUGGAGAAGCAAUACAUAUAUUCAAAAGCGGUAGAUAUUCUGACGAUAGUUCAUAAACGCUACCUUCUACGGAACAUUCAGGAUCUUGGACUACGUUUGGAAAGCCCAUGUCACUACCAAAUGCACCUAAGAGUUAAUGGCAAUAAAACUAAUUUUGAAAACUCU